rnacentral:misc_RNA from 1 species
CACACACACACAUAUAUAUUAUAUAUAAUAUAUAAAUAUAACAGAAAAAAUAGGAAAACAAAACGAAAAAAACCCUAAUAUUGGCUCGCCGCCUUUUAUGUUUCCAGUAAAAGGAGCAUAACUACGCGAUCACAAUUGCUGGUUCUGCGUAGAUUGUUUUUGAAUUUGCGUUGUGAGUUUUGCAAAAUUUUGAAGUUCCAGAAUCAGAAGGAUGGCAGAUGGCUAGUGUCUUGGAGUUUUUAUUCGUCAAGGAUUAGUAUUUCUGGAUACGGUAUUGAAUUUGGAGGGGUUAUCAAGGAUUUUAAUUUGAAAAUUUUGAGUGGGUGUUGUUAGCUGGACAGAUUGUGGUUUUCAUUAUUGCAAAUGGCAGAUGAUGGCAUGAGGGUAGGUGGGCUUUCAUCUGGCUUGGCCGUA